GAUGAACGCUAGCGGGAGGCUUAACACAUGCAAGUCGAGGGGUAAAUGGUAGCAAUACUAUGAGACCGGCGGACGGGUGCGUAACGCGUAUGCAACAUACCUUGUGCAGGGGGAUAGCCCGUGGAAACGCGGAUUAAUAUUCCAUAGUCCAGCUAUAUCGCAUGGUAUAGUUGGUAAAGAUUUAUCGGCACAAGUUUGGCAUGCGUCUGAUUAGCUUGUUGGUAGGGUAACGGCCUACCAAGGCUACGAUCAGUAGGGGUUCUGAGAGGAUUAACCCCCACACUGGUACUGAGACACGGACCAGACUCCUACGGGAGGCAGCAGUGAGGAAUAUUGGUCAAUGGGGCGGAAGCCUGAACCAGCCAUCCCGCGUGAAGGAAGACAGCCUUACGGGUUGUAAACUUCUUUUCUGUCAGAAGAAUAAGCUUGUCGAGACGAGUGAUGCCGGUAUGACAGGAAUAAGCAUCGGCUAACUCCGUGCCAGCAGCCGCGGU
rnacentral:rRNA from 1 species